GUCAGCGGGUUAAAGAUGGAGCCGGCAGGCGAGGGGCCGCCACGAGGUGCAGGGUCGUCUGGACGGGGACCCGGGGGCAGACGAUGGCCGGGAUCCUCUUCCGUCUAACCCUCCGCGUCCUGACCGGGCCCUGGGCGGAAGGGAUGUCUGCGCCGCUGGGAAGCAGUGCAAUGAUGAAAGGGCAUCGGUCAGGUCCAGCCUGCUACCCUGGGAGGGGGAAAGGGAGCUUGCUGCCUCACUCCACUUUCCAGUUGAGAAGGUUGAGGUGCCCAGAGGGUAAGUGUUUCCACUGAUUAGGCACAGAUGUGAAGCUGGACUGGACCCUCCAUCAGAGGAUCAGAGAGGUGUGCCCUGAACCUGCAGGAGGGACUGAGGUGUCUAACAUUCCAACCGUCCCAGCUGGAAUACAGGGUUGGAGCUGAACUUCCAAGGAGCCUGACCCCAGGCAUGCUUGGAUGACCACCUCUACCAUCAAGACCUGACACGGUGCAAAAGGCCACCCGGGCUCUCCAGCCGCGCUCGCUCGUAGAGAUCCUAGACAAGUUCGACAGCGAGGUCCCGCAGAGCAAGACCUGCCAGCAGAUCUCCGAGGAGGACUUGGAGAGGCAGGCGGACACCUACACUGGGCGCGCGCUGCGCCUCCUCUUCCGCAGCCCCGUCCGCAACCCGUCGCUGGCGGAGAGGGUGGUACAAUUGGAACAGCGCGGGCUCUCUUUUUUCCGGAUGCGGCCGCGGGGCAUGGGACCGGCUGGGCGGGAACUGUCACUACCCGGGUCCGCCGUCCCCUAGGAAAGAGCUCCGACGAUUGGAGCUUUGGGGGCCGGGGAUGGGGGUGGGGUGGAGAGGUCGCCGUCGGCCUAGCUGGGGCUGCAGGGUAGGAUCUAUCAGAAAGCCGAGGCUGCACAGCCUGGGGAGUGGAGCGGGCAGGCGUCUCACGCCCCGGACCUCCCCCUGCCCUGCCUCUCCUACUCUUGUUGCAGGCGAAGUUCUUCUGUGUUGUGCAGGCGGAGCUGAACCAUUGCAACAGCAUGGGCGCCCUGGAGAUGCACGAGCAGGUGGAGCAGCUGAAGCAGAGCAUCCACCGCGUGCACCUCUACUCCCGGGGCGAGGAUCAACCUCUCCCCGUGCUGGGCCCUGGGCGGGGGUCUGAGCCCAGUGCAGCCAGGCCGAGGGCUAGGUGACCACCUCCAUUCUUCCGGUUGGAUUUGCCCUCCUUGGAUCAGGUUUUAUCCAGAGCAGGAAGGGGCCUGGGCAGUCUGGACCUGGGAGGAGAGGCGCUGCCCCUAGCUAGAUUCUUUAGUUAGGAGACUGACUUCAGCUCUGCUACUUCCUUCCUGGCUGUGUGAUCCUGAGCAAGUUGGGCCACCUUUCCGAGAGAGAGAGCCCUCACUGCUCACCUUGACACCAAGAAGACGAGAAAGAAGCCAAGACAGAAGAAACCAGAACCCAACCUCUUGUGGGACCGGUUGACCUCCCCAUGCCUGCCACCAACCCUGCUGCCACCUCUGCCGCUACCACCACCAUGGUCUCCGUGGUGACCUCAUCACCCCCUGGCACCUGGGGCUGCCUUGCUUGCCUAAAGCCAAGUAGGUGGAGCCCCUUGGUGCCUUCAACCCCCACCCAACGCCUUAACCAGAGCAAACCCCGUUUAUCUGCUUUGUGCAUCAAGACCCUGUCUGCAAAGAGGGGUCUGCUGCUUAAAAGCAGAGGGCUGAGAUCCACGGCUACAGGCCCAGGAGAGCCCCUGGGAUUGUUCUGAGCAGGGGGCACCCAGGACUGCCUGGAGUGGGGGAGGCUCCCACUGACCGACUUGCAGGGCAGUGGAGGGAAGGGACCAAAGACCGUAGGCAUAGUGUAGACCAGACAGGAUCCUGGGGCUCCCAAAGGACAGGUGGAAAACCAGGGGGCCCCUCCCACAUCUCCAGCCCCACUCCUGCCUCUCCCUGUGGGCAUGGCUCCCCAUGCUACCCUCUGCCUGCAGUGCACUGGGUUAGAGCCAGGAUGGUGUCUGGCCCCAGGGAGGUGCGGAGGCAUGCUUACCAGGGGGAGCCAGGGCAAUGGAGCUUGGGCAGGCUGUUUCCAGCCACAUAUGAGAAAUGGAAGCCUCCAGGGUUGAGAACCAAGGGAGUCAGAUCAACCAGUCAGAUCAACCAUGUGGCUGCAAGACAGGGCAGAGAGGGGACGUCAGCCCCAGGCCCCUCCACACCUCAUGUGCAGUUCUACAGCACGGGCACAGGCACUGCCUACACAGAGCCAACCUCUGAGCCCAGACCCCUCCACUGUAAAAUGAGAAUAAGCACUCAGGAUGGUUGUGAGGAUUCACUAACAGACUGAGAAGAAAUGGUGACCUAGGCUGGCACAUGGGACACUCCCCAAGAUGCUCCUUUUUCAUUUCCCUCAAGCCCAGAGUAAACCCCUUCGACCUCCUUGGGUUUCGUGACAGGCCAUUCCAGUUUAAUUUCACUUCAGAUCUUGAAAUGUCCAAAUUCUUCACCUGGAGGAUAGAAAGGAAAUCUCAGGAUAAGUUUGUUGGCCUCAUUUGAAGAAAAGUACCUUAUAGAAGAGCCAUAAGAAUGACGUGGCUUUCAUUCACUCAGCAGAUACAUUGGGACCAUCUCUUGUGCCCACCUUGAGCUUGGUUAGGGGUACAGGAGAUGGGGUCGGGCACGCUGGGAACUAAGGAGGUCUGAACCCAGCCUGGGGGAUGGAGGACUGCCUGGAGGUGGAGGCCAGACCUGAAUGAGUCACACAGGCUAAGUGGGGAGUCAAGAGGUGCAGGCAGUUAGGCCACCACACCUGGCCGCUCAUCUUUUUCAGCAUUGAAUAAUAUUCCAUUGCCUGGAUAUGCCACAUUUUAUCAUUCGCCCAAUGAAGGAUAUCCUGGUUGCCUCCAAGUUUUGCAAUUAUGAAUAAAGCAGUAUAAACAUC